rnacentral:rRNA from 1 species
UGACGCCUGCCCGGUGCUGGAAGGUUAAGAGGAACCGUCAACAUCCUUCGGGGUGUGAAGCGGUGAAUUUAAGCCCCAGUAAACGGCGGUGGUAACUAUAACCAUCCUAAGGUAGCGAAAUUCCUUGUCGGGUAAGUUCCGACCUGCACGAAUGGCGUAACGACUUCUCCGCUGUCUCAACCGCGAACUCGGUGAAAUUGCAGUACGAGUAAAGAUGCUCGUUUCGCGCAGAAGGACGGAAAGACCCCGGGACCUUUACUAUAGCUUGGUAUUGGUGUUCGCUUGGACUUGUGUAGGAUAGGUGGGAGACUGUGAAGCUGCCGCGCCAGCGGUGGUGGAGUCGUCGUUGAAAUACCAUUCUGGUUUAAGCGGUCACCUUAACCUUGGCCCGUGAUCCGGGUUGGGGACAGUGCCUGGUGGGUAGUUUAACUGGGGCGGUUGCCUCCUAAAAUGUAACGGAGGCGCUCAAAGGUUCCCUCAGCCUGGUUGGUAAUCAGGUGGCGAGUGCAAGUGUACAAGGGAGCUUGACUGUGAGACCGACGGGUCGAGCAGGUGCGAAAGCAGGAACUAGUGAUCCGGCCAUGGCACGUGGGUGCGUGGUCGCUCAACGGAUAAAAGGUACCCCGGGGAUAACAGGCUGAUCUUGCCCAAGAGUCCAUAUCGACGGCAUGGUUUGGCACCUCGAUGUCGGCUCGUCGCAUCCUGGGGCUGGAGUUGGUCCCAAGGGUUGGGCUGUUCGCCCAUUAAAGCGGUACGCGAGCUGGGUUCAGAACGUCGUGAGACAGUUCGGUCCCUAUCCUCUGUGCGCGUAGGAAACUUGAAAAGGGCCGUCCCUAGUACGAGAGGACCGGGAUGGACGAACCUCUGGUGUGCCAGUUGUACCGCCAGGUGCAUGGCUGGUUAGCUACGUUCGGAAGGGAUAACCGCUGAAAGCAUCUAAGCGGGAAGCCUGCUUCAAGAUGAGGUUUCCACGCCCCCCAGUGGGGUGAGAGGCCCCCGCCAGACUAGCGGGUAGAUAGGCCAGAGGUGGAAGCACCGCAAGGUGCUCGUGAGCCGACUGGUACUAAUUGGCCAACACUAAACAAC